rnacentral:piRNA from 1 species
UAGGAUAAUAUUAUUGCGUCUGAAUCUGAG